UGCUUUGCUACCAGGUUCAGGCCCACAGCCCGCAGCAGGAGGCGGUCGCAUCGGCGUCGGCGUCGGCGUCGGCGUAACCGGCAGCCGUGCCAAACGCCCCUGAAACCCCCUCGGCGUCGACGACGGGCCGAAUCCCCGCGAGCCGCCGCGUCAGCGACACCAGGAACAGCGGACCAACCAAGGAUGCGCGCGGGUGCUGUCGGAGCAGGAUCAGAAGCGGGCUGCGGGCGGGGUACUGCUCCGUCGUCCUCCUCCCGCCGCGACGUGUAUGCCAUGCCCGAGAGCUGUCCCACGAUUUCGAGGAAAUCGACAAGAUCAUGGAGCACAACAUCAGCGUCAUCAUUUCUCAUCAGAACCUCAGCAACCUCUGCGGGUGUCACCGUCACCUCCAUGAUCAGUUUCUCAAUCUCUGGAUAUGUGUCAUGGUACUCGAUAGAGUGGUAGUUGUUGGCAAGGAUUCGAAAAGACUCUGGAGUGCAAUACCCCAUGUGGAUGUGCAUGUCCAUCCUUCCAGGCCGCAGCAGUGCCGGGUCAAGCCGUUCCUUGUAAUUGGUUGUGAAGACGAUGAUCCUUUCCUCCCCACUUGUUGACCACAGCCCAUCAACAAAAUUGAGCAGUCCAGACAGCGUUACCUGUCCAGAAAAUCCAAAUUCUUGUCAGGAACAGUGAGGAAGUGGUGGAUUCGAGAAGAGACAGGGAUCACACAUUGAAAUUCGAUGGUGCAGUCAAUAUCUUCAAUCACCAGAAUGGAUCGGUUGCCCAUGCUAACAAGAAGCCUCCUGAGGUCUGAGUUGGACAUGACCGCAGUUAGCUCGAGAUCAUAUAUGUCAAACCUGAGAUGGUUGGCCAUGGCUGCGAUUAGGCUUGACUUCCCAGUCCCAGGUGGACCAUACAGCAGCGUGUCGAAUGUAGAUGGGUGGUGGAGGUCAAUCGGGGACCAAUUGCCGUACUCAGUCAUGUGUAUCAUGAGAGUUCUCUCCUGGGCUUUAAUGGCCUUGGCUGUGGCCAGAAUGAAUGGGAG